CCAACUUCAAAUGUGUGAGCCAUAAGCCCUCAAGCCGCGUAUAGAUACCUACCCUGUUGUGUGUGCUUUGUAAAGUCUUAAAAUAUUUUCGUUUCCUCUCCAUAUUGCGUUUCCUCAUGUUUGAAUUAUAACUGGUGUCUGCCAGCUUAGCUAAAUUUCAUGAGGCGCCAAAUGAUUUGAAUAAAUUACAAAAAAAGAAUUACUUGUAGCAACUGCUCUGGUCCAUCUACCCAAAAUGCAGCAUCCUUGUACGGAUCCAGCGGCAGAUAAAAUCAACAAAACUGGGAUGGUAAUCAAACUUGAAAGGUAUGGAAUUGAGUAUACUUACGAUGCUCACAAAUCGCACAGAGGACUCCACACGUGGACUGCUAUUCAUCAGUAAAAAUCCAACGCAGGCGGUUGCAACGAA